CACGAGUCCGUCUGCAGGUACUGACAGACCCUCAAUGUGCAGCCUGCUGAUAACACCUCAAGGGUGCUUUCAGGUAACGUGCCCUCGUCUCCGGUCGUCUCUCGGACUAAAAGCUUUCGCCCUCCUGGUGCUGCAGACCCGCUGUUGGUCCUCUUGAUGCCUCAUUUCAGCCUCCGUUUGUCACCUGACAGGAAACGGCACAGGUAAUGUGUUCAAGGAAGAUUGCUGAUCCGACUCUUACUUCCCGUGACUGGAGCGAUUGCUGACGGGAACGCUCGGCAGUCUGUUAGACUUAACCAGCUUUAACUAAUCUUCCAGAUUUAGCUGGAGCGAUUAAUACCAUGGUAACAAAUACUGCACUGUAUUAAAUACACAAAAACACACACGCUGUUUAACACUUUGAGUACCGCCGUGUCGUGCUUGGACUGAGCGUCAUCUGCAUCACAGCCCGCCUCAGUGUGAGUCUGCAGCUCUACCUCGUUCCACGCAUGUUGCUGCCAUCUCCUUGUGCCUAUUUCUGCACCUCCUGUUUUUCAACCUUUUUUAUGCAGAAACAGGAAACAACAGCCCUGCAUGAGCUUGGCGAUCAGUCCAGGCCGGACCCCGCCUCUCGCCUCCCCUGUGGUCUGACUCAUGCUGUUUGGAAGAUAAAGACAGUUUGUCCCGGCAUGAACUGGGCUGCUAACGUUAGCAAUCAUAGCAGAGAGAUUUAGAAAGUUCUGACUGGGCGGCUGGACAGAGAUAACCCUUUGAACAUUUCUAUCCAAAGCCUGUAUAACAGGCUGCUGCUCUUUUCACCUCUGUGUGCUUUUCAUCCUUCAAAUUGGUCUGCGGUGCCUUCUCCACAAAGCCGAGCUGCCCUUUAGCUGCAGGAAUGUUCUUCCUCCAGCAUGCUGCAGGCCAAGCCUUGUUAGUGCGAUUCUCUGUGCACAAAAACCCUUUGAUUUUAGAAUUCAGUGUCUAUAAAAGGCAGCAGGCAAUGUCUAGAUUUUUAGAUUAAGAAAAAAAGGUUGUGUCCACACAGGCAGAAAAAAAUCAAUUUCCAGAAUCAAUCCGGGGAACAGGAUGUGUGGGUCUCUUAUGGCGCUCACAGGACUCUGAAGCUGUUUCCAAACAUGAACUCGGGAGAGACUCUGUCACAUGUAACACGCUGCAGGAAAUUGUCCACCACAGACACACUGCUGGCGCGAUGACCAGCGUGAGCCGUGGAGACAGGCAGGGACACGUGAUGCCCACUCACUGUGAAUUCACCACUUCCUCUUCUAUUCUCACACAAGUGCAAAUCAUAGUCCUGGGGAGACAGCAGGUUAAAGUGAUCCAUGUUGGAAAUUUGUGCUCUCACGUGUGACUGAUGUGUAGAGAAGCUGUGAGCUGCACUUCAUGCAUCAUGAAAAACUGUUAUUGUAGUCAUUAGAAAACAUUCAAGGGGACCUGACCAACAGGUUCACUAUAACGGACGCACAUAUCCUGCAUCAAGUCAGGGUUAUGUCUAAAGCUUGGUCACCAUGCUCACUCAAGUGCUGUAAAUCCAAAAGAAUCAAUCAAAGUUUAAGAAGUGAAACAUAAAAUGAAAAAACCUGAGUAAGAACAACACAAGUGAAAGUACUCUGAGCUCAUCCUGAUUUAAGUGUAGGAGAGGUCCCGAUGUGAAGGCUCGGAAUGUCCCAACGUUUUACUAAAACCUGGAAGGACGAAGGUGAGAGAGCUGAGGUGUGAAUUUCACCAGCGUUUCAGUGUUCUGAUGAAAGUCAUUCAAGACUUUUUUAUCUUAAACUUCAAUAGCAGAACUCAGUGUUAUGUUUAAAAGUCAAACAGAGUAUUUGCACAUACACAGUGCAAAGAGAACUUCAAGGACUGGGACUAAGCAGCUGUGCAGACUUAAUAUGGAUAUGUCUGUACUUUAUGACCUUUCUCUCUGAGUGUGUUGUUGUAAAUAUGCAUAACAUGUGUGGCCCCCUGCCAAAGCUGAUUACUCGUCCAGUCAAUAUCGUUGAUAUAGUGCUGCCCAUCAUCCUGGGAUCAACACAAGAACUUGGUGAAAACAAAGACAAAAGUCU